rnacentral:rRNA from 1 species
UACAGAGGGUGCGAGCGUUAAUCGGAAUUACUGGGCGUAAAGCGCACGUAGGCGGCUUGGUAUGUCGGGGGUGAAAUCCCCGGGCUCAACCUGGGAACUGCAUCCGAAACUGCCUUGCUCGAGUAUGGGAGAGGGAAGUGGAAUUUCCGGUGUAGCGGUGAAAUGCGUAGGUAUCGGGAGGAACACCAGUGGCGAAAGCGGCUACCUGGCCCAUUCUUGACGCUGAGGCGCGAAAGCUAGGGGAGCAAACGGG